UUGAACAUUUUCAAACAAAGAAUCCGUUUGUAGACAAUCUGCAGCUACGAAGUACUUUGUCACUUCUCUGGAAUAUUAUUCGAAGCAGAAUUAUCCCGAUUCAUAUAUUCUAAGAAUCUUGUGUGGAUUGUUUACGAGGAAAUUCUGACUGUCGCAUUAACAAGGAUGAACACUCUUGAAUCUGCUUCGGAUUUCCCAGUGAUAAUUGUAUCGAGCGAUGAAGGAGCUGACGGCGACAUUUUAAUGUAUGAUUGGCUUGGACCAUUGGAAUGAAGUUAUUUUAUGGUGCCACCACUUGGGAUAGUAUUAGCUGCAAAUAUAGACUUGUACUCAUCACUUACUGCCUUUGAGAAGUAUGGGAUCCUUUUUGUGCCAACACCUACCGUGACACAGAAACUUGGUUUAUACAGUCUCAUCGGAGUAUCCUUUCUCAAGCAUUUAGCAAUGGGAUUGGAACCUGCGACGUGUGACUGUGACUGUCAUCUGAGUACUGAAAUUUGCUGCCAAGAAUGAUCAUGAUUUGCCAGAAGAGCAUCUGUUGGGAGAUCAGAUGACAAAGUAUAAACAGCGAAAUGAAGAUGAAACUGUCGUGUGAAACAGUCUCAGUUUAAGAAGAUGACUUUAAAUAUAGCAUAUUCAAAUUUUGAUUUGAGAAAAAGACAUUAAUUCACAAUUUGACAAACAUGAACAUAUCAACUGCUUUCAGUUUUUCAAGAGAAAUAGAUUUUGUUACAG